UACGUAGGGGGCUAGCGUUGUCCGGAAUCAUUGGGCGUAAAGGGCGCGUAGGCGAUUUGAAAAGUCUUGUGUGAAAGCCCCGAGCUUAACUCGGGAAGUGCACAAGAAACUGUUGAAUUUGAGUUCCGGAGAGGAAGGCAGAAUUCCCGGUGUAGCGGUGAAAUGCGUAGAUAUCGGGAGGAAUACCAGUGGCGAAGGCGGCCUUCUGGACGGAUACUGACGCUGAGGCGCGAAAGCCAGGGGAGCAAACGGG
rnacentral:rRNA from 1 species